rnacentral:rRNA from 1 species
UGCCUCAGUAACGGCGAGUGAAGCGGCAACAGCUCAAAUUUGAAAUCUGGCCUUCGGGUCCGAGUUGUAAUUUGCAGAGGAUGCUUUGGGCGAGGUGCCUUCCGAGUUCCCUGGAACGGGACGCCUUAGAGGGUGAGAGCCCCGUACGGUUGGACACCAAGCCUAUGUAAAGCUCCUUCGACGAGUCGAGUAGUUUGGGAAUGCUGCUCUAAAUGGGAGGUAAAUUUCUUCUAAAGCUAAAUAUUGGCCAGAGACCGAUAGCGCACAAGUAGAGUGAUCGAAAGAUGAAAAGCACUUUGAAAAGAGGGUUAAAUAGCACGUGAAAUUGUUGAAAGGGAAGCGUUUGCGACCAGACCUUUUCCCGGCGGAUCAUCCGGCGUUCUCGCCGGUGCACUUCGCCGGGUGAAGGCCAGCAUCGGUUUCCGCAGGGGGAUAAAAGCUUGGGGAACGUGGCUCCCUCGGGAGUGUUAUAGCCCUUUGCAGAAUACCCUUGUGGGGACCGAGGACCGCGCUUCGGCAAGGAUGCUGGCGUAAUGGUCGUCAACGACCCGUCUUGAAACACGGACCAAGGAGUCGAACAUUUGUGCGAGUGUUUGGGUGUUAAACCCUCACGCGCAAUGAAAGUGAACGGAGGUGAGAGCCCUUCACGGGGUGCAUCAUCGACCGAUCCUGAUGUCUUCGGAUGGAUUUGAGUAAGAGCAUAACUGUUCGGACCCGAAAGAUGGUGAACUAUGCGUGGAUAGGGUGAAGCCAGAGGAAACUCUGGUGGAGGCUCGCAGCGGUUCUGACGUGCAAAUCGAUCGUCAAAUCUGCGCAUGGGGGCGAAAGACUUAUCGAACCAUCUAGUAGCUGGUUACCGCCGAAGUUUCCCUCAGGAUAGCAGUGUUGUUCUUCAGUUUUAUGAGGUAAAGCGAAUGAUUAGGGACUCGGGGGCGCUUUUUUGCCUUCAUCCAUUCUCAAACUUUAAAUAUGUAAGAAGCCCUUGUUACUUAAUUGAACGUGGGCAUUCGAAUGUACCAACACUAGUGGGCCAUUUUUGGUAAGCAGAACUGGCGAUGCGGGAUGAACCGAACGCGGGGUUAAGGUGCCGGAGUGGACGCUCAUCAGACACCACAAAAGGUGUUAGCACAUUUAGACAAUAGGACGGUGGCCAUGGAAGUCGGAACCCGCUAAGGACUGUGUAACAACUCACCUAUCGAAUGUGCUAGCCCUGAAAAUGGAUGGCGCUCAAGCGUCCCACCCAUACCUCGCCCUCAGGGUAGAAACGAUGCCCUGAGGAGUAGGCGGCCGUGGGGGUUAGUGACGAAGCCUAGG